rnacentral:rRNA from 1 species
GUGCCAGCAGCCGCGGUAAUACGAGGGGGGCAAGUGUUGUUCGGAAUCACUGGGCGUAAAGGGAGCGUAGGCGGAUGUUUAAGUUGGAUGUUUAAAACCGGGGCCUAACCUCGGAGCGGCAUCCAAAACUGGGCAUCUUGAAUAGGUCAGAGGCUGGUGGAAUUGGAGGUGUAGCGGUGGAAUGCGUAGAGAUCUCCAAGAACACCUAUUGCGAAGGCAGCCAGCUGGGACCAUAUUGACGCUGAGGCUCGAAAGCAUGGGGAGCAAACAGGAUUAGAAACCCUGGUAGUCC